rnacentral:rRNA from 1 species
UACGUAGGGUGCAAGCGUUGUCCGGAAUUAUUGGGCGUAAAGAGCUCGUAGGCGGUCUGUCGCGUCUGCUGUGAAAACUCAGGGCUUAACCCUGAGCUUGCAGUGGGUACGGGCAGACUAGAGUGCGGUAGGGGGAGACUGGAAUUCCUGGUGUAGCGGUGAAAUGCGCAGAUAUCAGGAGGAACACCGGUGGCGAAGGCGGGUCUCUGGGCCGAUACUGACGCUGGAGGAGCGAAAAGCGUGGGGAGCGAACAGG